rnacentral:rRNA from 1 species
UACGUAGGCAGCGAGCGUUGUUCGGAAUUACUGGGCGUAAAGAGCGUGUAGGCGGUGUUCCCAGUCUGUUGUGAAAUCUCCCGGCUUAACUGGGAGGGUGCAGCGGAAACUAGAAUGCUAGAGGGUGGGAGAGGUAAGCGGAAUUCCUGGUGUAGCGGUGAAAUGCGUAGAUAUCAGGAGGAACACCUGUGGUGUAGACAGCUUACUGGACCGCUUCUGACGCUGAGACACGAAAGCGUGGGUAGCAAACAGG